rnacentral:rRNA from 1 species
UGAAUACGAGACGCUAAGGCGUCGAAGUAGUGUAUGUCAUACUUCCAAGAAAAGCUUGCACUGUCAUAGAUAAAAAACGCCUGUACCAUAACCGACACAGGUGGGUAGGUAGAGUAUACUAAGGGGCGCGAGAUAACUCUCUCUAAGGAACUCGGCAAAAUAACUCCGUAACUUCGGGAGAAGGAGUGCCUUAUUAUUAAGGCUGCAAUAACAAGAUCCAAGCAACUGUUUAUCAAAAACACAGGUCUCCGCUAAGUCGUAAGACGAUGUAUGGGGGCUGACGCCUGCCCAGUGCCAGAAGGUUAAAGAAGUUGGUUAGCAUUUGCGAAGCUGAUAACUGAAGCCCUGGUGAACGGCGGCCGUAACAAUAACGGUCCUAAGGUAGCGAAAUUCCUUGUCGGGUAAGUUCCGACCCGCACGAAAGGCGUAAUGAUUUGGAUACUGUCUCGGAGAGGGGCUCGGUGAAAUAGACUUGUCUGUGAAGAUGCGGACUACCUGCACCAGGACAGAAAGACCCUAUGAAGCUUUACUGUAACUUGAAAUUGAAAUUGGACUUUAUUCGCGCAGCAUAGGUGGGAGGCGUUGAUUAUAAUCUUGUGGGAUUAUUGGAGCCAUCAGUGAGAUACCACUCUUGUAAUGUUAGAUUUCUAACUUUGAAUCAUUAUCUGGUCAAAGAACAGUUUCAGGCGGGCAGUUUGACUGGGGCGGUCGCCUCCUAAACGGUAACGGAGGCGUACAAAGGUUUCCUCUGAACGGUUAGAAAUCGUAUCUAGAGUGUAAAGGCAUAAGGAAGCUUGACUGUGAGACCUACAAGUCGAGCAGGGACGAAAGUCGGUCUUAGUGAUCUGACGGUACUGAGUGGAAAGGCCGUCACUCAACGGAUAAAAGUUACUCUAAGGAUAACAGGCUGAUCUCCCCCAAGAGUUCACAUCGACGGGGAGGUUUGGCACCUCGAUGUCGGCUCAUCGCAUCCUGGGGCGGUAGUACGUCCCAAGUGUUGGGCUGUUCGCCCAUGAAAGCGGUACGCGAGCUGGGUUCAGAACGUCGUGAGACAGUUCGGUCCAUAUCCGGUGUAGGCGUUAGAAUAUUGAGAGGAGCCUUCUUUAGUACGAGAGGACCGAGAAGGACAUACCUCUGGUGUACCAGUUAUCGUGCCAACGGUAAACGCUGGGUAGCUAUGUUUGGAGUGGAUAACCGCUGAAAGCAUCUAAGUGGGAAGCCCACCUCAAGAUAAG